UACAGAGGUCUCAAGCGUUGUUCGGAUUCAUUGGGCGUAAAGGGUGCGUAGGCGGCGCGGUAAGUCGGGUGUGAAAUCUCGGAGCUUAACUCCAGAACUGCCUUCGAUACUGGCGAUCUCGAGUCCGGAAGAGGUGAGUGGAAUUCCUGGUGUAGCGGUGAAAUGCGCAGAUAUCAGGAGGAACACCAAUGGCGAAGGCAGCACUCUGGGACGUGACUGACGCUGAGACGCGAAAGCGUGGGGAGCAAACAGG
rnacentral:rRNA from 1 species